rnacentral:tRNA from 1 species
GUCAGGAUGGCGAGCGGUCCAAGGCGCUGCGUUCAGGUCGCAGUCCGGUCUUCCGGGCGUGGGUUCGAAUCCCACUUCUGACA